rnacentral:rRNA from 1 species
GAUGAACGCUGGCGGCGUGCCUAAUACAUGCGAGUCGAGCGAACAGACGAGGAGCUUGCUCCUCUGACGUUAGCGGCGGACGGGUGAGUAACACGUGGAUAACCUACCUAUAAGACUGGGAUAACUUCGGGAAACCGGAGCUAAUACCGGAUAAUAUAUUGAACCGCAUGGUUCAAUAGUGAAAGACGGUUUUGCUGUCACUUAUAGAUGGAUCCGCGCCGCAUUAGCUAGUUGGUAAGGUAACGGCUUACCAAGGCAACGAUGCGUAGCCGACCUGAGAGGGGGAUCGGCAACACUGAACCUGAGACACGGCCCGGCCCCCAACGGGGGGCAGAGGUGGGAAACUUCCCGCAAUGGGCGAAAGCUUGACGGGCCAAGGCGGGGGGGUGAUGGAGGGCCUCCGGUUCGAAAACCCUGUUUAUAAGGGAAAAAAAAUGUGGAAGGUACCUAGCCACGUUUGACGGUAACCAAAUCAGAAGGCCAGGCUAAACUCGUG